ensembl:lncRNA
GUACAGGCAUGGGGGAGGACCGAGCAUAGAGAACUAGUAAACGCCGUGGGGUUCCCUGUGCACACCGUGGCCAUGACUUUGACAGUACCGGCUAGCGGACGUUGCUCUCCCGUCUCCAGGCACCUGAAAGCGGACCGGUAGAGGAGGCUAACACCGGAGGGAGAGGCAUUAGCUGACGCCGGCUCGAGUCGGUAAAGCAGCUUUUAUCUGAUUUUUUUUAACGUGUUUGUUGAGCUUGUUUCUUCACGAGAUAACUGCCGCUCCUCGUUCAGCGGUUUUACGUGGACGCUACCGGGAGGCGCUUUUAUUUGAGCGGUGGAGUGCUGCUGAGUGAGACAGUUUGACACUUUCAGCGAAAACAGGCUGAAAGCUUCUGCUCGGGGACGCCGGUGCAAGGUGAGCGCUGUCCUCACGUCAACCCCGGCGCUGCGCCGGCCUGCUGUACUCCAGCUACAGGGGAACGCCGUCGUCGUGUGGCCGGUGCACUGCAGCUCUGUGACGUCCCCAGGUUCACCUACACCGGCUUCCUCUUACUGCCACCGCACUGUGUGAAACGAGUUACUCUACAUUCUGCAGUCAGAGAGUUUCUGUGAAGGAAGACGCUUUGCCACAUGAUGUUUUCCAGUAAAUAUGUUGGUGAAGAAAGCCGGCCUCCCCCUCCAUUGCACCAGUCCACAGAGAGCCUUGCCUGACCUCAUCAGUCAGCCUGUCCAUCACCACUGCAAGUAAGAAGGGGCUCACAGCCGAUCCCUGAUGUGAUCCCACCGCCUUGAAUCCAUCAGUCACUCCUACCGCACGCCUCACCAGUGUAUCCGUCCUGCCCCACCUUCACAUACUUCUCUGCCAAUCAUGCAGUACCACACUUCCUGUCUUGGCACCCUAUCAUACGCUUUCUGUUGAUCCACAAAUACACAGUGCAGCUCCUUCUGUCCACUGUCCUCUGUCCUAGACACCCGAUACCUCUGAAGGCAUGCCACCUGGACCAACCACCUUCUAAUCCUCUGCACUUCCUCGCUGACUUUUUUUUUUUUUUUAACUUUAUUUAUUAAUUUUUUUAAGAAAAAGGGAUUUUAAAAACCCCCAUUGAUGAGUGCUGACAAGACGAAACAUUAUUUGCAUUUCUUGAUAUCAUGCAGAAAUAUAUGAAAGUUGAAAGAAAUGUUUGUCUAUGCUUCUUAUUGCUGAGCCUGUAACCUUAGUCUGUUUGCACCAUCUAAGCACAGCCAGCGAUUGUUUCAAAGCCGCUACACUGACAUUUACCUUGCAGAUAAAUAAAAGCUCAGUGAGAUGUCAUGCUCCUUUGCUUCCAUAUCCCUGUGAGUGAGUAAGAACCGACAGCUUUACGUCGUCACGUGUCGUAGUUUCCCUUAAAACGUUUGUGCUCAUCAGACUCAUCGUGCCAUAUUUUUCUGCGCUUGGACGAGUCGUGACUGAGGCGCCAAAUGCUUUGACAACACAACAAACAGCCCAGCUCAUUUAAAAAAAAAACAUUCAGCAGCAUGAAGAAUUAAUGAAGCAGAUCUGGGUAUCCAGUGUCUUUGAGCGAUGCCUGCUCAUCUGUUCCAGGCCUUGUUUACAAAACCAUAAAAUGCUGCGGGGUAGAUCUGGAUACUGGCUUAAAGCCCAGAUGAUACGGGUGAAGUGCACCACAAGAAAAGCCUUGUUCCCAUCUAAGGGUAAGGCCCCCAACCCUAAAAGAAAAGAAAAAAUCACUGUCAUGAGAACUGUCCUCCUUUUAGCUUUUGCAUCUCUUUUUUUUUUAAAACUUAUUUUUCCUUUUCCUUAAGCUAUCAGAGAGAAUAUGUCAUCAGGCUGCAGUCAACCUUUGAUUGUUGAUAUUGAUGCCUUUUCUGGUUACAUCUGUCCAGCUGUGAUUGGACAGUUGCUUGUACAGUAUCAAACUCGGCUGAGUUGUCACGUUAAACAAAGACGUAUUGCUGUGCUGUUGUUAAAGACGCAUUCAUAGGUGGAAAAGACAACACACAGAGUAGUGAAGCUAAUAAGUCAGACAUCGUAAGUGGGUCAUUGGCUGUUUGAAAACACUGACGCUUCACUGCUCGGUCCUGAAUAGGAUUUUUCAGAGUUGGCUUGUGAGAGAUUGGACAUGACAAGAGACAGAGAAGCUGCCCUGUUUCAUGAACAGUUCCCUGGGCUUGCUGAGAAAAGUCAUCGAACACAUUGACAUAGAUGCAUUGGAUGGAAGUAGAAGAUUUGAUUUGCUUUGAUGUUUCAGAUAUCGCCCUCUAAUGUAGCUCAGUAUCAAAAAGACCUCAGUAAUGUUAUGUAAAGCUGCCUAACUGAAGAUUUUUCUCAGG